CACCGUGUGCUGUUGAACUUGAGUCAACUGUAGAAGGUAAGUAAAUAUUUGUGAUUUGCUGUUGAUUGUUGAAUUUGUGUACCCUUAAUUGUUAAAUUUGGGUACUCUUGAUUGUGAAUUUGUUUGCUGUUGAUUGUUGAAGUUUUGUGCUCUUGAUUGUUGGAAGUUUUGUGCUCUUGAUUGUUGAAGUAAACCCAUGGCCAUGAACCGAUCGAACCGACCGAACCGAACCGAACCGAACUAGAUUGGUUCGAUUCGGUUAUCCCUCUUAUUCGGUUCGGUUCGGUUUAUGUAAAAUACUGCAUUUCGGUUUUCGGUUAUAUCGGUUC
rnacentral:lncRNA from 1 species